rnacentral:lncRNA from 1 species
CGCGGGGUCAGGGAGGGUAGAGGAAAGGACGGGAAUCCAAGCUCUAAUAAGGUAGAGUUAAAGAGGUAGGGUUUUGUCUUUUUUUUUUUAAAAAAAGGAUCGCAAUCGCUUUGAAAUGACCCUGCUUUCUAUCUAUUUAUCAUUUUUCAAAAUUUUAUUUAUUUUUAUUUUAUUUAUUCUUAUUUAUUUUUAUUUUUAUUUCAAAAAAAGCAGAAAAAGAAACUGGCCAAAGGGCAAUUCAGGAAAGACUCCUCCAGGGCACUUUUAGUGUGUUUGCUCGUCUUUGUACUUCGCACCUUUAAAAAGUUAAUUUAAGGGCAGGGUUAGAUAUGUUGUCCGGAUUCUGUGGCAGGGCUUUGAAACAUGACCUAAGGCUUUUAAUGUAAUCGUGCAAUAUGCUUGGACUCAUAGGUGUUAGGCAAAAGGAAGCUUCUCUUCUUACAUUAAGGCUCAGUGCUUGUUUUCAUUACCCCAUAAAUCAUUCUUCUCCAACCCAGUUGUUUUGGACCACAACCCCAGAACAUCUGGCCCAUCAGAUUGUGGGGUGAAACAUCUGAAGUCAGUGGAAGACCUACAAUUUUGGGUCCCUGAAGCAUGGGCGUAGCCAGGAUUUAUGUUGGGGUGGGGGCAGAACCUCAAUUAAUUAAGUAUUUUUAUUUAUUUAUUUACUUGACCCCCUUGGCAACGCCCAUGCCCUGAAGCUUGAACUGUUAUAGGGGGGCCUUCGCAACCAGCAACAAGGUCUGAGCAGCCACUGUUAUCUUCAAUGGGGCUGUCCCAUGUCGUGUCACCACAAUUUAUUUCUUUUUUAAAUUAACUACUACAUUUCAGAUUGUAUUGGAUUACCUCAUAUUACAUGAAGCACAUUUUACAAAAUACUCUUUUUCUGGUUUUUCCUAGCAACAUAUUCAAGUACAGUUUCAUCAUAUGAGAGCUUUCCUGCGAUGUCAUUUUCUAGAGACAAUAUACAUAAAGAAUUUAAGCACUCUUUAGCAGAACAGCCAACUUACCGUGACAUCCCACCUUUGCAACAUCUGUGCUACUGACUCUCAAACAUCGGGGUUGUUGAAUUAUAUACAACCAAAAAAUAAUCAGUUUGAUUUUGUUAAGUGAUGUGGACAGUGGAUUAAGGGCCUUGAAGCUUAAGCUUCCUUAGAUAGGGCUGCCAUGCAUCCGGAAUUUCCCGGACAUAGAUGGUAUUUUGCUGCCGGAAACAGUGUCUGGGUGGAAAUUGCAGAAAAUGUCUGGGAAAAUCUGGACCUGUUGUAAGUGUAGAUUUUGCCCUCCCCCCCUUCCUAAAAGAAGCAGCAGCUCAACAAUUUCCUCCUCCAAAAAAAGGGAAAAAAUCUCAACAACUUUUGUGUCCAGAUUUUCACUUUUUGAAACAUGGCAAUCCUACCUUAGUUCCAUACAGUCAUACCUCGGGUUGCGAAUGUGAUCCGUGUGGGAAGCAACCUGCAGCACUGCAUCUGUGCAUGCACGUGAUGCAAUUCGGCGCUUCUGCGCAUGCGUGUGACGUCAUUUUGUGUUUCUGCGCAUGUGCGAGCGCUGAAACCCAGAAGUAAUCCGUUCCGGUACUUCCAGGUCCGCAACCCAAAAAUGCGCAACAUGCAGCGUUUGCAGCCCGAGGUAUGAUGGUAGUAGAUUCAGCCCUGUCUGGAGAGCAUCAUGGGUGGCAACGCCAGCUGUAAUCUGUUCCAGUUAGUUCACUUAAAACAUUUGACCAGCAGAGGGUGCCAAAUGCACGUCACAAAUUGAAGCAGGGCUGCAAAUGCGUACAAUUCUCAUACAGUAUACAGUGGUACCUUGGGUUAAGUACUUAAUUCGUUCCGGAGGUCCGUUCUUAACCUGAAACUGUUCUUAACCUGAAGCACCACUUUAGCUAAUGGGGCCUCCUGCUGCCGCCACACGAUUUCUGUUCUCAUCCUGAAGCAAAGUUCUUAACCCAAGGUACUAUUUCUGGGUUAGCGGAGUCUGUAACCUGAAGCAUAUGCAACCUGAAGCGUAUGUAACCCGAGGUACCACUGUAGACUUACUUCUUCCUGUAGGAUAGAUUUAAAUUCGCUUUUAGGCUCAUCCCAAAAUACUGAAUGAAUGACACCAUAAUGGCAGGCCUAGAAGUAACCCAGAGGCCUGAAGAGCAUAACGUAAAAAUGGUGUUUAGUAGAGCUGGCCGAUCCUCCGUUUCGUUGUCUGUAACCGGUAUGGCGUUCACAUCACGAUAACCGGUUUCAGACUUUUUGAGCUGCCGAUACACUGCGGCUCCCCAGCUGCUGCCAGCUCAGCGCACUUCCUUCUCCCUGCCUGCCUGCACUGUGAUGGCGGCAGACAGGCAGCUGCAAUGUAUCGGCAGCUCAAUUCACCUUCGUCCAAGCAGGCAGGCUGCAUCUUUCCUCUUGGGGCGGUCGGCCACUCCAGGAGGAAAGAAGCAGCCCACCCAACAGAUGCAUGGAGAACAUGCUUUUCAGGCUCUGUGGCUUGACUGUCGCCUGCUUGCCUUCACCCGGGAGGAAAGACUGCAUCUUUCCGCCCAGAGCACCUGACCGCCCCAGAAGGAAAGUUGAAGCCUGCCUGCUUAGGCAAAGGCAGACACCUUUGAGGGAGGCCUGAUGCAUUUCCGGCUGGACGGGUGUCAAAGCAUCCUUGAAACGCUCAGCUGAGGAGAGGGAAGCCUCUCGCCCCCCAGCUGAGCGAAGUUCUGGUGCUGUGCUCCCCUGCAUUCACUUGGCAGGGAAUCGUAGAAUGGCAGAACUGGAAAGGGCCACGAGGGCAAUUUAGUCCAACAAUGCAGGAAUAUUUUUUUGCUCAGUGUGGGGCUCGAACCCAGAACCAUGAGAAUAAGAGCCCUGUGCUCUACCAGCUGAGCUAUAGAAGAUAUUUGAUGGGAGGGGGAAAACUGGCGAGAUCCAGAUUGAUUGUUGUGGGGGUACUUUGUGAUUUUUAAAAGGAGGACUCUCAGAUACACACAAACACACACACACACGCACUUUGCAAGGCAUGCUACAGGAGAGGGGUCUUAACUGUGUUUGAUGAAUGCAGUGGUUACGGAAUACAGCGGUACCUCAGGUUACAUAUGCUUAAGGUAACAGACUCCGCUAACCCAGAAAUAGUGCUUCAGGUUAAGAACUUUGCUUCAGGAGGAGAACAGAAAUUGUGCUCCGGUGGCGCGGCGACAGCAGGAGGCCCCAUUAGCUAAAGUGGUGCUUCAGGUUAAGAACAAUUUCAGGUUAAGUACGGACCUCCAGAACGAAUUAAGUACUUAACCUGAGGUACCACUAUAUAGAGGGCAGAAAUGCGAUUGUGUGUAUGUGAUGGCAAACUUUUUUUUGUGGCAGCAGGUCAGCAGCACUGAGCGCUGGGGGAGAGAGUCCUUUUUGGGAGUCCUCCUGAUGUUCCCCGAAGGAGCAAUGUGCAUGAUGGUCGUCUGCUAAUCACACAUUGACUUGUGAACCUUCUGAGUCAGCAGCCAGCAGCUCUGCUUAGUGUGGUGUGGCAAAUGGUGUCCUUGAGGUCUUCUGAUGCUGCCAUGGAAAACAGACAGGAUCCCAAACGUUUCCAAAACAUGGCAGCAGCACUCUGCAGUUUCAGACUCCUUCACUGACCGCAAAAAGUAAUCAUAAACACCAGGACAGAACUGAAGCCUGACUCCGCAGAAGCGCCACCGCCUCCUCUUAAAUAAACAGGAGCAUUAAUGGGG